GCGGAGGAAAAGAAACCAACAGGGAUUGCCUCAGUAACGGCGAGUGAAGCGGCAACAGCUCAAAUUUGAAAUCUGGUCCCCUCUGGGGGCCCGAGUUGUAAUUUGAAGAGGAUGCUUUUGGCGAGGCGCCUUCCGAGUGCCCUGGAACGGGACGCCACAGAGGGUGAGAGCCCCGUAUGGUAGGACGCCGAGCCUCUGUAAAGCUCCUUCGACGAGUCGAGUAGUUUGGGAAUGCUGCUCAAAAUGGGAGGUAAACCCCUUCUAAAGCUAAAUAUUGGCCAGAGACCGAUAGCGCACAAGUAGAGUGAUCGAAAGAUGAAAAGCACUUUGAAAAGAGAGUUAAACAGCACGUGAAAUUGUUGAAAGGGAAGCGCUUGCGACCAGACUUGCGCCCGUCGGAUCAACCGUCCCUCGUGGGCGGCGCACUCCGGCGGGCUCAGGCCAGCAUCAGUUUUCCCGGGGGGAGAAAGGCGGUGGGAACGUAGCUCUUCGGAGUGUUAUAGCCCGCCGCGUAAUGCCCUCGGGGGGACUGAGGACCGCGCGUAUGCAAGGAUGCUGGCGUAAUGGUCGUCAGCGACCCGUCUUGAAACACGGACCAAGGAGUCGUCCUAAUAUGCGAGUGUACGGGUGUAAAACCCCUGCGCGUAAUGAAAGUGAACGGAGGUGAGAGCUUCGGCGCAUCAUCGACCGAUCCUGAUGUUCUCGGAUGGAUUUGAGUAAGAGCAUAUUGGGCCGGACCCGAAAGAAGGUGAACUAUGCCUGUAUAGGGUGAAGCCAGAGGAAACUCUGGUGGAGGCUCGCAGCGGUUCUGACGUGCAAAUCGAUCGUCAAAUAUGGGCAUGGGGG
rnacentral:sRNA from 1 species